rnacentral:rRNA from 1 species
UGGGGAAUUUUGGACAAUGGGCGAAAGCCUGAUCCAGCAAUGCCGCGUGUGUGAAGAAGGCCUUCGGGUUGUAAAGCACUUUUGUCCGGAAAGAAAUCCUUGGCUCUAAUACAGUCGGGGGAUGACGGUACCGGAAGAAUAAGCACCGGCUAACUACGUGCCAGCAGCCGCGGUAAUACGUAGGGUGCAAGCGUUAAUCGGAAUUACUGGGCGUAAAGCGUGCGCAGGCGGUCCGCUAAGACAGAUGUGAAAUCCCCGGGCUUAACCUGGGAACUGCAUUUGUGACUGGCGGGCUAGAGUAUGGCAGAGGGGGGUAGAAUUCCACGUGUAGCAGUGAAAUGCGUAGAGAUGUGGAGGAAUACCGAUGGCGAAGGCAGCCCCCCUGGGCC